rnacentral:rRNA from 1 species
GAUGAACGCUGGCGGCGUGCUUAACACAUGCAAGUCGAACGAGAAGUGACGACGGAAACCUUCGGGCGGAAGGCUUAAUUUCGAGUGGCGGACGGGUGAGUAAGGCGUGGGUAACCUGCCUCAUUCAGGGGGAUAACAGUUGGAACCGACUGUUAAUACCGCAUAAGACCACAGCACCGCAUGGUGCGGGGGUAAAAACUGCGUUGGUAUGAGAUGGACCCGCGUUCGAUUAGCCAGUUGGCGGUGGAACGGCCCACCAAAGCGACGAUCGAUAGCCGAUCUGAGAGGAUGACCGACCACAUUUGGACUGAGACCCGGCCCAAACUCCUACGGGAGGCAGCAGUAGGGAAUAUUGCACAAUGGGGGAAACCCUGAUGCAGCGACGCCGCGUGAGUGAAGAAUUAUGUCGGUAUGUAAAGCUCUAUCAGCAGGGAAGAAAAUGACGGUACCUGAGUAAGAAGCCCCGGCUAACUACGUG